GAGGCGUCGAAACUACCAAAUCGGAGAUCUUAAAUCUGGUUUUGUCUGUGCUUGCCGAGUGCGAAGAAAGUUUGUGGUUUUAAUAUACUGACAUAUACACUGCAAUGACGUUUUAAACAACGUUUCAGUAACCACAAAAUUCGUCACAAUGCGCUUAAAUGCUUAAGAGGGUUUUAAUAAAUGUUUGUAAUUUAAAAUAGUAACAAUGAAAAUGACGGGGUUUUUAAAAGAAAUUAUUGAGCAUUACAAUAAAUUGUAACAAUUAAGUCCACAAGAAAGAAGAACAAUCUUACUCUGCAAUACAGCAUUUAAGAGAAGAGAGAAAAUAAAGUAGUAGUAGUAACAACAUACAUAUAAACAACUAAACAACAGUUCAAAUUAUCUUCCUUCUUCCUUAGGACGAAAUCAAGGACUACAGUUGGGGAACUAUACAAGAAAAAAAAAAUACAAAAAAAAAAUCCUCCAUGAAAUCUCACAGUAUGUCAUUCUUUUUGUUAUGAAUUUGCAUAAGAGAAUCUUUCAAAAAAAAAAUUCUCAUAUAAAUAUAUUACAUUUUGGUGUGCAUUUCCCUAAUUUUUGUUUAUGAAUGUCAUAUUUACCUUGCAAAAUGUAAAAGUCAACGACAUAAUCAUUUUGCUUUAACGUAGCGCUACAGUCGAACUGUGUUGCGUCAGCACGUGUUGCGUCAGCACGUGUUGCGUCAGCACGUUGUGAGCGAUUGCAAAACGUUGCUUGGAAACUAGUCAUCCACAAAACAACUUUCGCAGAGGUUGACAAGCAAUGCAUCUGCAAGUGUCAUGCUCCGAUGAACAAAAGAUACACAUCCCUGCAGUAUUCACAGCAACGGUGAAGCUGAAGGCCAGACUACUGGAUAGCACCAACUACAAAAUCAUUUCAUCAAACACCGGACUUUAUUGUUGGGUUUCAAAAUCCUUUUUAAAACAGAACUGGGUUUCUAACAGUUCUGAUUGGAUUUGCUCAAGAAUUCUCAACAAAUAAAACACUGGCCAUUU